ACACAUGCAAGUCGAGGGGCAGCGAGGGAGUGGCAACACUUCUGUCGGCGACCGGCGCACGGGUGAGUAACGCGUAUGCAACCUGCCCUUCACAGGGGGAUAACCGGGAGAAAUUCCGACUAAUACCGCAUACGUCCUCCGGGGGCAUCCCCGGGGGAUGAAAGAGUUAUCGGUGAAGGAUGGGCAUGCGUGAUAUUAGGUAGUUGGCGGGGCAACGGCCCACCAAGCCCACGAUAUCUAGGGGUUCUGAGAGGAAGGUCCCCCACAUUGGUACUGAGACACGGACCAAACUCCUACGGGAGGCAGCAGUGAGGAAUAUUGGUCAAUGGACGAGAGUCUGAACCAGCCAAGUCGCGUGAAGGAAGACGGAUCUAUGGUUUGUAAACUUCUUUAGUGCGGGAACAAAGCGGCGUCGUGACGCCGGAUGAGUGUACCGCAAGAAUAAGUAUCGGCUAACUCCGUGCCAGCAGCCGCGGUAAUACGGAGGAUGCGAGCGUUAUCCGGAUUUAUUGGGUUUAAAGGGAGCGCAGGCUGCGAGGCAAGUCAGCGGUCAAAUGUCGGGGCUCAACCCCGGCCUGCCGUUGAAACUGUUUUGCUAGAGUUCGAGUGAGGUAUGCGGAAUGCGUUGUGUAGCGGUGAAAUGCAUAGAUAUGACGCAGAACUCCGAUUGCGAAGGCAGCAUACCAACUCGCGACUGACGCUGAGGCUCGAAAGCGUGGGUAUCGAACAGGAUUAGAUACCCUGG
rnacentral:rRNA from 1 species